rnacentral:rRNA from 1 species
GUGUCAGCCGCCGCGGUAAUACGGAGGGUGCAAGCGUUAUCCGGAUUCACUGGGUUUAAAGGGUGCGUAGGUGGGUUGGUAAGUCAGUGGUGAAAUCCCCGAGCUUAACUUGGGAACUGCCAUUGAUACUAUCAGUCUUGAAUACCGUGGAGGUCAGCGGAAUAUGUCAUGUAGCGGUGAAAUGCUUAGAUAUGACAUAGAACACCAAUUGCGAAGGCAGCUGGCUACUCGGAUAUUGACACUGAGGCACGAAAGCGUGGGGAUCAAACAGGAUUAGAUACCCUCGUAGUCC